rnacentral:rRNA from 1 species
GACGAAGGGGGCUAGCGUUGUUCGGAAUUAUUGGGCGUAAAGAGCUCGUAGGCGGUCUGUCGCGUCUGCUGUGAAAACUCGGGGCUUAACCCCGGGCCUGCAGUGGGUACGGGCAGACUAGAGUGCGGUAGGGGAGACUGGAAUUCCUGGUGUAGCGGUGAAAUGCGCAGAUAUCAGGAGGAACACCGGUGGCGAAGACGGGUCUCUGGGCCGUAACUGACGCUGAGGAGCGAAAGCAUGGGGAGCGAACAGG